rnacentral:rRNA from 1 species
UACGUAGGGUGCGAGCGUUAAUCGGAAUUACUGGGCGUAAAGCGUGCGCAGGCGGUUUUGCAAGCCGGAUGUGAAAUCCCCGGGCUCAACCUGGGAAUGGCAUUCGGGACUGCAAGGCUGGAGUGCGGCAGAGGAGACUGGAAUUCCUGGUGUAGCAGUGAAAUGCGUAGAUAUCAGGAGGAACACCUGUGGCGAAAGCGGCGCACUGGACCACAACUGACGCUGAGGCGCGAAAGCGUGGGGAGCAAACAGG